AGUCAUACGCUCGUCUCAAAGAUUAAGCCAUGCAUGUGUAAGUAUAAAUAGUUAACUUCGAAACUGCGAAUGGCUCAUUAUAUCAGUUAUAGUUUAUUUGAUGAAGAAUACUAAUUGGAUAACCGUAGUAAUUCUAGAGCUAAUACAUGUAUAAAGUCUUGUAGACUGCAUUUAUUAGAAAGAAAACCAUAGGUUUCGGCCUAUUGGUGAGUAAUAAUAAGUAAUCAUAUCGUGUGC
rnacentral:rRNA from 1 species